ACAGACAUAAUGGUGUUCCAGCCAUCAGCACGAGGAUUAUAAACAUAGUAAAUUAGAUCUAGUGUUUACUCUAAACAUGGACGAAGAUGAAUUAUGUUCUAAAUUUAUUGUUAUUAAAGUUAUGGAAGAGAUCCAUAUAGAUUGAGGAAUGAAAGUCAAGCCAUUAAUCUUUUAUAAAUUUUGACUGAUCAUUGUGUUAGAAUGUGUUGUUUACCUAAUUUUUGUAAACAUCUAAUUGAGAUGGUGAGACCUUAUAUUGUAGUGCCUAUAAGAAUAGUUACACUAACAGAAAAAUUCAAGGUUUUAACUGAUUUAACAUUUUCCCACUGCUAGUAGUUAAUACAAAUAUUAAUACAUACAAAUUUUUGUAUGUAGGAAAUAAGUGACAUUCAACAAAGAGUUAAGCAUACAUGUCUGUUAGAAUAUUAAUGAAAUAUCUAAUGCCUUAUGUAAACCUGCAAUGUUGUAUAGCUGAAAAUUGCACAAUCUACUAGAAAAUGACCAUAUUCAAUUAUCUUAUUAUAUAAUAGAACAAGUAAAAAAUAAAUUAAUAUUAAAAUUGUUGAAAUAUCUUUUCAUAUCAAAUUUUUAUAUAUUUACAAUUAUUUUAACUAUGAGUAUAUAAAUUACAAUGAUACAUUAUUUUGAUAAAACUAUACUUAUCGUUUAGUAAGUACAUACUUACAUUUUAUAAUAUUGUAUGUUUUAAGAUUUUUCUCAUAUGAAUUUAUUAUCAUCACUCACUAAUAAGUUAU